rnacentral:rRNA from 1 species
GGAAAAGAAACCAACAGGGAUUGCCUCAGUAACGGCGAGUGAAGCGGCAACAGCUCAAAUUUGAAAUCUGGCCGCAAGGUCCGAGUUGUAAUUUUGCAGAGGAUGCUUUUGGCGAGGUGCCUUCCGAGUUCCCUGGAACGGGACGCCAUAGAGGGUGAGAGCCCCGUACGGUAGGACCACCGAGCCUCUGUAAAGCUCCUUCGACGAGUCGAGUAGUUUGGGAAUGCUGCUCUAAAUGGGAGGUGUACGUCUUCUAAAGCUAAAUACCGGCCAGAGACCGAUAGCGCACAAGUAGAGUGAUCGAAAGAUGAAAAGCACUUUGAAAAGAGGGUUAAAAAGUACGUGAAAUUGUUGAAAGGGAAGCAUUCAUGACCAGACUUGGGCUUGGUUGAACAUCCGGCGUUCUCGCCGGUGCACUCUGCCAGUCCAGGCCAGCAUCAGUUUGCCCCGGGGGAUAAAGGCGGUGGGAAUGUGGCACCCUCCGGGGUGUGUUAUAGCCCGCCGUGUAAUGCCCUGGGGUGGACUGAGGAACGCGCUUCGGCACGGAUGCUGGCGUAAUGGUCAUCAAUGA